rnacentral:rRNA from 1 species
UACGAAGGGGGCGAGCGUUGUUCGGAAUCACUGGGCGUAAAGGGCGCGUAGGCGGCCCUCCUUGUCGCUUGUGAAAGCCCCGGGCUCAACCUGGGAACGGCGCGCGAGACGGGGGGGCUGGAGUUCGGGAGAGGAGCGUGGAAUUCCCAGUGUAGAGGUGAAAUUCGUAGAUAUUGGGAAGAACACCGGUGGCGAAGGCGGCGAGCUGGUCCAUUACUGACGCUGAGGCGCGACAGCGUGGGGAGCAAACAGG